rnacentral:piRNA from 1 species
UUGAUAGGCAGGAAGUGGCCAAAGGCAGGU